GCUACCAUAAACACGUUGAGACACCAGUUCCUUUAUGAUUACCGAAGUUAAGAAACGUCGAGCUUGCUCAGUACCUAGAUGGGUGACCGUUUGGGAAUCCCAAAUGCUGUAAG